AAAAAAGUCUAUCUUCUCCACGUCUCUUACUCUCCCCGUAAAAGAAGGAACCAAUCUUACGCCAUGGUCUCCUCACGUUCUCUCCUCCUCCCCAUGGUCUCCUCACGCUCUCUCCUCCUCCCCAUGGUCUCAUCCCUGCAAAAAACAAAUCAAUCAUAUCUCUCAAAUUGGAGCAAGCAAAUUAGGGAAUUGAUCUGGUGCGCUCACGACAUGGAAUCUCUCCUCCUCCUCCCAUGAAAAAAAAACGAAUCUCUCUCAAAUUGGAGCAACCAAAUUGGGGAAUAGAUCAGUCCUCGGAUUCAAUCCUAGAUUUUUUCUCACGUACACUCUUUGGGCACUUUGUGGAGAUUGCAACGGAGAAAAACCAAGCCCAUGCUGCUAGCUUAUAAAUUAACUGCAGUCUAACACAAACAAUCUACACGUCAAGGAGGCUCCUGUCGGCCGUCAACAUCGUCGCUGGUGAACCUUCUCCUGUUCGGUUAACUUCUUCCGCUUUCCUUCGAAACAAUGGCAUACGAUAUGCUCCAUGAGAUUAGCAAUCAGAAGGAUUCUUGGAAAGUCAAGGUCAGAAUUAUUAGGCUAUGGGAUGCCAUUAACCUCAACAGCAAUGAACUUAUUAGCCUUGACAUGAUACUACUUGAUGAAGAGGGCACUAUGAUACAUGGCAAGUGUUGAAGUUCUUUCCACAAGAGAUGACCAGAAGAUUUACUUAUCUGAUGUCAUUGGCAUAGCAAGUUACAUAGGACAUAUUGAAGAAACACAGACAAUCCAUGGGAUUACAAAGAUUCGAGAUAUUGUCCUUUGAAUUGAGAAAAGUUCUAUACUGCAGAAGCAAUGAUUAAGUCAAUUGAUACAUCAGAUGAGUGGUACUACAUGGAAUGCCGCAAAUGCAACAAAAAAGUACAAAAACAAGGGAACCACUUCUACUGUCCAAAAUGUGUAAAAGAACCUGAGAAGACAUGUCCAAGGUACAAACUUAAGCUAGAGAUAUGUGAUCUGAGUGCAACAACAACUUGCACCAUGUUUGAGGCAGAAGCAAAAAAAUUGAUUAAGCAAUCUGCAAGGUUUUUGAUAGAUAGGGACGAUUGCGAUAUUCAUGAGCAGACAAAACAAAUCCAGAAAAUAUGUGGGCAGAGAUUGAUUUUUCAAUUCAAAUUGAAUGACUACAAUUUGAAGUACGGUUAUCAAGAAUACACUGUUUGUAGAAUCUUUUUCAUAGAUUCUGAAAAAGAUCCAUCAGUACAUCAUUCAAAUGUUGAGCAGAUGGAGGAUGAUAAACCCAUUGUAACGUACACUAAAAAGACUAGGACUAGGAACACACAUCAUGUUGUACAUUCUGAUGAAGAAUACGAAAAUCAGGAUAGUCAAGAGAAAGAUGAAGCCAUAUCUAUUGUUGAUAAGGAAUCUUAGAAAAAGGGAAUUCAAAAGGAUAGACAUGAGCAACCAGACAAGCUGUCAGUUAUGAAAACUAUAAAGCAAGAACCGGAGGAUGAUGAACCCACUAGUAACCGGACUAAAAGGGGUAGGAUGAGCAGCAGAGGUCGUGUUUUUCACCUUGAUGGAGAGCCAAAAACUAAAGGUAGUCAAGAAAUAAUCAAAUCAAAAUAUAUGGAAGCAGGCCCCAAGAGAAAGCGCGCCGUAACUCGCAAAUGUGCUGGUAUUGAUACCAAACAAGUAAACAAUCACCAUGAAGAAGAAUCAGAACAGGAAGGUACUCAGCAGCACAAUAAUUCAAGGCCUAGGACAAGGCGUAGUUGUGUUGCUAAAGAACUGAUGGACAAAGGCAUUCAGAAGUGUGGUGUAUCAAGAACUCGAAAGACAUAGUUGAUUAGUGGAAAUCCAGUCAUUUUGCAUGUAACAGAACAUAUAGGAGCAUCAGAUUUGUACUUCAUAUGAUUGUUGUUUAAGAUUGCUUUUAAUAAAUGUAAACGCAUACCUUUGUGUUAGUAAAGUCAUUAUUCUCUCUGUUAAUUAAGAGUAACUAUUCGGC
rnacentral:rRNA from 1 species